GAGGGGGAGCUCGGCCCUUAUUCUGAAUUUCUAUUUUGGGGAGGGACAGCGGGGUGAGCAGAAAGGGAGAAAUGCCCUCUACAAAGAUGGCGCCAGCGGUUUCCUCCCAAUGGCAGUCGAGGGCAAGCGGGAGCGCUCUCCCGUCGCAGGGGAAGUGACGUAUCAGCCCGCGCGACGGCCCUUUCCGGUUCCUCCUUUUGCCCUUAGGCGCACGUGUGCGAAGCGGGGAAAGAAUGAGGGGCCGCCGGGAAAGACGGAAAGAGGCUUGGAGUGCACAAUGAAGGGAGACCAGAGCAAGCUCCUGAGUGACACAGC